rnacentral:rRNA from 1 species
CCUACGGGGGAAAAAUUUAUUGCUAUUAGAUGAGCCUAUAUUAGAUUAGUUAGUUGGUGAGGUAAAGGCUUACCAAGACAAUGAUCUAUAGCUGAUCUGAGAGGAUGAUCAGCCACACUGGAACUGAGAUACGGUCCAGACUCCUACGGGAGGCAGCAGUGGGGAAUAUUGGACAAUGGGCGAAAGCCUGAUCCAGCCAUGCCGCAUGAGUGAAGAAGGCCUUCGGGUUGUAAAGCUCUUUUAGUGAGGAAGAUAAUGACGGUACUCACAGAAGAAGUCCUGGCUAACUCCGUGCCAGCAGCCGCGGUAAUACGGAGAGGGCUAGCGUUAUUCGGAAUCAUUGGGCGUAAAGGGCGCGUAGGCGGGUUAGUAAGUUAAAAGUGAAAUCCCAAGGCUCAACCUUGGAACUGCUUUUAAAACUGCUAGUCUAGAGAUUGAAAGAGGAUAGAGGAAUUCCUAGUGUAGAGAUGAAAUUCGUAAAUAUUAGGAGGAACACCAGUGGCGAAGGCGUCUAUCUGGUUCAAAUCUGACGCUGAGGCGCGAAGGCGUGGGGAGCAAACAGGAUUAGAUACCCUGGUAGUCCACGCUGUAAACGAUGAAUGUUAAAUAUGGGAAGUUUACUUUCUGUAUUAUAGCUAACGCGUUAAACAUUCCGCCNGGGGACUACNGUCGCAAGANUAAAACUCAAAGGAAUUGACGGGG